rnacentral:tRNA from 1 species
GCCGAAGUUGCCAAUGUGGUCAAGGCGCGUGUCUGAAGAACACGUUAUUGGUGUUCGAUUCACCACUUCGGCA